rnacentral:rRNA from 1 species
CACGUAGGGCGCAAGCGUUGGCCGGAAUUAUUGGGCGUAAAGAGCUCGUAGGCGGUCCGUCACGUCCGCUGUGAAAACCCAGGGCUCAACCCUGGGCUUGCAGUGGAUACGGGCAGACUAGAGGUAGGUAGGGGAGAAUGGAAUUCCCGGUGUAGCGGUGAAAUGCGCAGAUAUCGGGAGGAACACCGGUGGCGAAGGCGGUUCUCUGGGCCUUACCUGACGCUGAGGAGCGAAAGCGUGGGGAGCGAACAGG